rnacentral:sRNA from 1 species
UAAUGGGAUGGGACUCCCAGUAGGGGAUGC